rnacentral:lncRNA from 10 species
GGGGAAAGAACUUGGCAGUAGAGAACCCUGGCAAACACUCCUCAGCUAGGUGAUCCAGGUGAAUGGACAUCAGGAAUAAGUCAUGUGGGCAGCAUGUGCCCUUGGUACAUUGUGAUGAGAAAGGUACUGCACCUCUGUGGUCUUCCUCCCCAGAAUUCAUAACCUUAGUCUAGCCAUGGGAGAAGCAGCAGACAAAUGAAAACCAAGGGACAAUCUACAAAACACCUGACCAGAGAGGCACAACAACGAUUCUAUGCCAGGGGAAAGCCGCUGGGCCUGCUCCGCCCUCCAAUUAACCCAUUUUAUCUGAGAGGCUGGAAAGGAAGAAGGUACAAGGCCAGGGGCUCAGCUAUGAAAACAUGUUCUGAAUGGGAUAAAAACAGCAGUGGGAAGCCUCUGUCUUAUAUAAAUAAAUAGUAGAUGUUAAAGUAAAAUAAAAUAAAAUAAAAUAAAAUAAAAUAAAAUAAAAUAAAAUAUUUC